rnacentral:rRNA from 1 species
CCUACGGGAGGCAGCAGUGAGGAAUAUUGGUCAAUGGGCGGAAGCCUGAACCAGCCAAGCAGCGUGCGGGAGGAAGGCUCUAUGGGUUGUAAACCGCUUUUGCACGGGGAUAAAACCCUAUACUCGUGGAGGUCUGCAGGUACCGUGCGAAUAAGGGUCGGCUAACUCCGUGCCAGCAGCCGCGGUAAUACGGAAGGUUCGAGCGUUAUCCGGAUUUAUUGGGGUAAAGGGGUGCGUAGGCGGGCGGUAAAGUUAGCUGUAAAAUCGCGAGGCUCAACUGCGACCCGCCGUUGAAACUGGUCGCCUUGAGUUCACAUCAGGCAGGCGGAAUUCAUGGUGUAGCGGUGAAAUGCAUAGAGAUCA